CUGGUUGGCUUUUUUCUUAACGCUGUAAUUUUGCACGCAUUCACUUUCCCCCUAGUUUUUUGCCGGGGGUGGUCGCGGUGGGGUGGUGGGUGGAGUGGACUGGGGGGUCGGAAGCCCUCUUUUGGUGUCCGAACAUUGGCUAUUUUCCCUGUAUUACCCGCACCGUUCAAUUCCGUCUAUGAAAACCUCUCCCCACACCCUGCACACACGCAGACACUCCUCCCUUCGAACAAAAAGGAAUGUAUAAAGAUUUCAGUGACUUUGAGAUAACAAAGGCGCCACCAUUGCCGAGCCUCGCCCCGCCUCUGUGUGAUGGCAAACAAAUUCUUGCACUUGUAUUAGGGCUUUUAAGGCUAUAAUUGAACACGGCGCGUCUAGGGGAACCGAAAACAGUUCUAGACUGACCUGCGGUUUUAUAGCACUUUGGCAGUCAACUUCAGCUUGUGUCAGAGCAGACACGACAGAGCUGCCCAACACUUAAUCGCGGGACGCCACCUCCUCGGACUCGCUGCAGCCUCCCUCUUGCGUUUCAAUAAAUUUCAAACCUCGGGGCUAGAAAUGGGGAGCAGAGCUGGCACAGGUUUGUACGGGGCUCUUUGCCGCUCCUCUCUGCAGCCGAGGCUGCGGCGCCGUACGAGGCUCCGCCGUGCCAGAGGUCGGGGCUGCCUCUGGGAAACAAAGGGAAUUUAAGGCAAGAAGGGCGAGAAGGCGACUGGAAAUAGGAGCGUGUGUGCGUGGGUGUGCGUGUGUCUGGGCAUAUACGUGCUUGCACAGCAUGCACACGUGCAGCCCCGAUGCCUGCUUUGGAAUCGCCCGAGCUCUCCCCCACCUCUCCAGACCAAGCAGCCUGUUUCUCUUCAAGCGGGUUUGUAACGCUGGGGGACCCCAAAACGCCUCCGGGUGCCGCCCGCACGACAAGCGGGAAGGGAGACGGGGGAAAGGCGAGGGGGGCACAGCUCGACUGGGAGCGAGCAGACACCCAAGGCACAGGCUGUUCUCUGCUUUAUUUGCUGUUAAGUGAAACAAGAGAUAAUGUACGCUAAAAGUCCCGGAAUGUGUGGGUAAUUGCAGGGAGCCUGCUGUUAAGUUGCUGUGUUCAGCACAAUUAUCAAUGUUGAUUAUUUGGUCUAAUGUUGAAUUGCUCUUUUAAUACAGUAAUUGGGACUUCCGCGUUGAGGAAGGGGGAAAACCGAGCCUUCCCCUCGCUAACCUCACUGAGAACAACAUAAACAAAGGCAGGCAUUUCGUUUGGAGAAGCAAAAUGCAUUCGUUACGCCUUCCCAUGUAUUUCGACCGGAUUAGAGAGGGUAAAACCGCUCUGAAUUUGGAACCUCUGCUGCAGGACGGUUUUGCAAAGGAGAAGCGUGGCCAAGAGGAUUAAACGCUACAGACCUACAGAGAUAUACCCUUUGUUGGCGACCAGUCAUGAUAUUUUGCAUCCCUUCGAGCUGAUGAACAUCUGAGGGCUCUCUGAAUGAUAGCUGCAAGUAAAAGAAAUAUUGCGGGUUUUUUUUUUUUUUCAGGAGAUGAAGCUAGAUAGAAAACUAGAUAGAUAGAUAGAAAACUUCAUGUUUCGGCAGCUAUUCUCUCGCUCACCAGCAGACAAACGAUUUGUUGUUCUGACAGCCUCCCGGCGCCUUCCCAAGUCGCGGGGAGUCUCUCACUAUGUCGUGUCUCCUCACCCCCCGGUUCCCCAGCCCUCAGCUCCAGGGUCCUGGGGGCUGAACCCCUCUAAAAUGUUUAUGUUUACUGCUCGGAGCCUGGUUCUGAAAGGCAAUGCUAGCGGGUUUGGCAAUAAGGCGCAAGAAGAGGUUUUCUCUGACCAACUAGUGUAUCAGAAAUUGAUUGACUGACAAUGCUUCUAUAAAUGUCUCUUUUUCUCCCCUUAAACCCUCUCGGAGGCUUUUCCGGCACAGGAAAACAUACACACAAUCAUUCAUUUCCCACCCCGUCUAUCCAGAUACAGGUGCAAGAGACUUCUAGAAAACUUAGUCUGCGGGAGAGGGGUGUCUAGAGCCAGCGGUGGGCUCCAAACUGGUGCGAAAGCAAAUUCCCUUGCUUAUAAUCCUCCGGUACAGAAAAGCAGGCACUUUCCAGCGACUCCCACCCAGACCCACAAGCACCGUGUCGUUAGCACUGUUUGUAGUAAGCAGGUAGCAGCCCCCUUUCGUGUCAAUGUAUUUUAUGAAGAAUUAAGCAGAGCGGUUUAGGGGAACAUUCCCAGUGAUCCCUUGAAAGUGAGGUGCUAGUAAUGGACAGUUAUCCCUGCGAACGGCCAUAUCCCAGCGAUGUUCCCAUGCAAAGUUCACCCGCAACCGAGAGUGCCACUCCAUGUGGCACUAUUAAAAAAAAAAAAAAGAAAAAAGAAAAAAGAAAAAAUUAGGAAAAAAAAGGAAAAAAAAGAAAAAAGUUCACCAAAACAUUCCCAUGUCGACUUACAUUUAAAAGUAUUGCUAGAAUCGAUGCCUUGAACUUGACCUUAGAUUUGUUAAUCCAGGAAAUAUAUUCAGUGAGAGGAAAAAUAAUCCUAUCGCAUUGCCUCUGGCAAAAGAGCAUUUUCUGCCUACUAAUUCAGGAUAUAAACGACACACAAGAGUUAUGAGAUACAUAAUGUGCCCUCCAGAUUAAGCCCAGAAAGCUGCAGAAAGUGGAAUGCCUCAAUGCCGAGACCAGCCUGUCGUAGCUAGACUGUUUCUGAGAUGCCGAGAUCCAAACUGUGCCACAGAAAUUCACGUCAAGGGGGCGGGUACAGGAAGUAUCGCUAUACCGGGACUGUCAAAUCAACGACUUCAAAGCUCCAACUUCAUAUUUUGAUGGACUCCCAGAAUCGUAUUAUAAUUAAGGUACCUGUACUUGUGUAACAUUUACAGGAAGCUAUUUGUAUAACACGAGCCUGAAGUACGUGCUGCAAUUUAGGAUGCAAUCAUAUGCCAAUGUACAGCUCAGCCAGCUCGUAAGGAUCGUUUCUUGUCUCUUCUCUCAUAUGUAAAGUAAAGAUACCCAUAAAAAACAGCUCUUUCUCUAAGCCUAAUAUGGCUGCUCUUGCCUAUGUCCGGGUGGAAGCCUGCUCACUGCCCCACUUGCUUCCUUUUCCACACUUUUCAACAAAUGCUGAUACUAAUAUCACUCUUUCCAGAAAUAGGGGUGCAUAAGCGUGACAGAUUCACAUUGCAGAGCCCGGGGGAAUUUGGGCAAAACAUCCAGAAUGGGACCAGGCGAAGCGUGGGGGUACUCGUUCUUUCUCUUUCGGUUUUAUUUUUCCAUCAAGUGUUCAUACAGCACAGUAUGUAAAAAUCCUCACAUAUUUAAAAGUAAACCACCUACUAUUUGGAGACGAAGUCCAUCCAAGAUUGCUUUGUAUUAAAAAACUUUUUCCCUUUUUUUUAAAAUUUAUUUAAUUUUUUUUUUCUUUGCCUACCCGAAGGCAUUUCAAAGCCAGGCUUGAAAUAACCCGCUUUUCUAUUACUCCUCGCCCAAGCCGACCAUAUAGGUCGUUUUAUACGAUCAGGAAUAAAUGAAAGCAAUUUGCUUAGUGUGUUCAAAUCAAGGCGAUUACGACGAAAUUCAGAUUAAUUAAAGCUGACAGGUUACAAUGCCCGGCUGGCAUUUUUCUCUCUUGAUACACACAAAAAAUGGGGAAAAGCAGACAGGUUAAACAUCCUUCCCCGCAUUUCUUCCACACACAGCCGUCCACCCUCCUCCCCGGCACUUGAAUGAUUAAAAUAAUUUCAGAGGCAAGUACGCGGGAAUAAAACAACCGGGGAUAAAAACCAAGAGACGCUUUUCCACGCAGCCUGACCCAGCUCCGCAAUACAACACGGCUCUGCACAAAGCGAAACAACCAGCAGCUCUAUCUGCAAGUCUGCUCUCGUCCUGGGCUCUGACCCCAGCCUCUCCUGGCGCACUUUCCUGCCAAGAGUUCUCUUUGCUUCCCACCUAUGCUAGAGAGGAAAGCAGCAUCCUUGGGGAAGGUGGAGCCGGCACCCAAGCUGGGAGAAAGAGUCUUACUUUUCUCAACCAGCUCUUCGGCUCUAUUAGCAUCUGCUCUGGCAGCCUUCCCCCAGGUCCCCGCAGGAGAAGCGGCACCUCGGCCUCAUACACCGUGGGACAA